ensembl:lncRNA
AUGAUGGGAUUGAUUCAUGGUGCAAUGCUACAAGUAAGGCCCCACCCUGGGUGUGCUAUGGGCAGGUAGCCUGGAUAGACUCCAAGGGACAGAAAGAGGGCUGCUGUUGCCACCUGCAGCAUGCCACUUUACUGCUUUGUUGCUUCUCCCCGCCAUGAACUAUUUCUCCUCUGCAGCGUCCCUCUCCCAUGCCAACCUGCUUUGGAGCCAGCCAACUAUGAACUGAAACCUUUACACACUGUGAGGUGCAGGGUUUUCUGAUGGAGCCUGCCAUCACUUGUCGAACAGUACCUGAAUCGGGGGGUGAGGAUGAAGAAAAAUAAAGACAAAGAGAGUCGGGAGGGCUCCCAGAGACCGAGCGCCCAAGUUUAUUUUUCUCCUCUCUUUUAUACAGCAGGUCCCUGUUCGGGCGCCACCCGUGACAGAGCCCGCCGUCACUUGUCGAACAGCACCUGAAUGGGGGAGUGAGGAUGAAGAAAAAGAAAGACAAAGAGAGUCGGGAGGGCUCCCAGAGACCGAGCGCCCAAGUUUAUUUUUCUCCUCUCUUUUAUACAGCAGAACGUUCAUCACGUUCCAGGGCAAUCUAAUUCGGCAAGGACGCGGUUCCUCAUAACAUAGUCUCCUUGCUCUAUACAAUGGAGGGUUGGCCUCAAACUUGUGAUCCUCCUACCUCAACCUCCUGAGUGAAGGAGAUUACAGUGUGCACCACCAUGCCUGGCUCCAAAAUUAGAGAUUUUUAACUCAACUAAAGCAAAUGAAGCUAGACUAGAAUUUUUUCC